UUACUUGUGAUAGAGGUGUUACUUCAGA
rnacentral:sRNA from 1 species